GUUGGGGGAGCACCACCAGAGGAACUAUAUUAAAGGGUUGUGGCAUUAGGAAGGUGGAGAGCCACCGCCCUGAGAGUUCAAAGUGAAAUGACCUGUCCAGUUCUUACUCAUGCAUUGUGACAAAGUGAGGACACAUUCUGAGUCUGAACUGCCUGGCAGACCCAGUGUAACAGCUCUGAGUCUCUAACACACAGGCUUGCACUGUGACUUCUGUAACAUCUUAGGACUUAGGAAAUGACUUCCUUGAACAUACUGGGAGAAAAACCAUAGAUCAUCAGAGAACCACUAAAAACCCCUCCUCUUUCACAGUUGUCCCCUCUAAGUAAAGAAGAUGCUGGAGAAUAUGUGUGCCAGGCAUCCAACUCCCAAGGACAGGCUUCAGCCUCGGCCAAAAUUAUGGUGGUGGAUUCCUUGCAAGAAAUACCGGGGGAAAGAGGUGAAGACGCUAAUGCAUAGCCUGCAAGAAUGUGUCUGUCUGUCUGCGUCGCUGCAAGCAGCCAUGGAGAACUACAGCCCCUGUUCUUGUCUAAUCACAUUUCUUUUAACCCAGUUCACCAGCACUUUCGUUAUAUUCACUGAUUUUACAUAGAAAAUUACCAAGUAAAGAGAACACUCGAAGACUAUCUACAAAAAUGUAUUGUUUAUUUACAAACCAAAGGGAGACAAGCAUGCAUACAGUACUACAAAUAAAAUGCUCUUCCACACAGUA